AGCAGUCGCCACGGUAACACGUAGGUGGCAAGCGUUGUCCGGAAUUAUUGGGCGUAAAGGGCUCGCAGGCGGUUUCUUAAGUCUGAUGUGAAAGCCCCCGGCUCAACCGGGGAGGGUCAUUGGAAACUGGGAAACUUGAGUGCAGAAGAGGAGAGUGGAAUUCCACGUGUAGCGGUGAAAUGCGUAGAGAUGUGGAGGAACACCAGUGGCGAAGGCGACUCUCUGGUCUGUAACUGACGCUGAGGAGCGAAAGCGUGGGGAGCGAACAGGAUUAGAUACCCCCGUAGUCCCUGUCUCUUAUAC
rnacentral:rRNA from 1 species